rnacentral:rRNA from 1 species
AAGGUAUUUCCUGCCCUAUGGUUUUAUCUAAAUGGCUGCAGUAUUUUGACUGUGCAAAGGUAGCAUAGUAAUUAGUUUCUUAAUUAGGAACUUGUAUGAAUGGAUGAAUGAGAUAUAGUUUUUAUUUAUUUAAAAGUUAAAAUUUUAACUUUAAGUAAAAAUGCUUAAGAUUUUUCUUGGGACGAUAAGACCCUAUAGAACUUAAUAUUUGCUUAAUAAAUUGUUUUUAAUUCUUUUAUAUGAUUUUUUAUUUAAAUGUUUUGCUGGGGUGGUUAAUAAAUUUUAAAACUUUAUUUUUUUAUUUCAUUGUUAGUUGUUUUUAUUGAUCCUAAUGGAUUAAAAGAAUAAGUUACCUUAGGGAUAACAGCGUAAUUUUAGUGGGGAGUUCAUAUCUAUACUGAUUUUGCGACCUCGAUGUUGAAUUAAGAAAAAACUAAGAAGCAGAAUUCUUAGAUUUAAGUCUGUUCGA